AGAAUGUUAUCACGGGAGACACACGGCGGGUGCUAACGUCCGUCGUGAAGAGGGAAACAACCCAGACCGCCAGCUAAGGUCCCAAAGUCAUGGUUAAGUGGGAAACGAUGUGGGAAGGCCCAGACAGCCAGGAUGUUGGCUUAGAAGCAGCCAUCAUUUAAAGAAAGCGUAAUAGCUCACUGGUCGAGUCGGCCUGCGCGGAAGAUGUAACGGGGCUAAACCAUGCACCGAAGCUGCGGCAGCGACGCUGAUGCGUUGUUGGGUAGGGGAGCGUUCUGUAAGCCUGUGAAGGUGGCCUGUGAGGGUUGCUGGAGGUAUCAGAAGUGCGAAUGCUGACAUAAGUAACGAUAAAGCGGGUGAAAAGCCCGCUCGCCGGAAGACCAAGGGUUCCUGUCCAACGUUAAUCGGGGCAGGGUGAGUCGACCCCUAAGGCGAGGCCGAAAGGCGUAGUCGAUGGGAAACGGGUUAAUAUUCCCGUACUUGGUGUUACUGCGAAGGGGGGACGGAGAAGGCUAUGUUGGCCGGGCGACGGUUGUCCCGGUUUAAGCGUGUAGGUGUGUGUUCCAGGUAAAUCCGGUUCACUUUAACACUGAGGCGUGAUGACGAGGCACUACGGUGCUGAAGCAACAAAUGCCCUGCUUCCAGGAAAAGCCUCUAAGCAUCAGGUAACAUCAAAUCGUACCCCAAACCGACACAGGUGGUCAGGUAGAGAAUACCAAGGCGCUUGAGAGAACUCGGGUGAAGGAACUAGGCAAAAUGGUGCCGUAACUUCGGGAGAAGGCACGCUGACACGUAGGUGAAGUGAUUUACUCAUGGAGCUGAAGUCAGUCGAAGAUACCAGCUGGCUGCAACUGUUUAUUAAAAACACAGCACUGUGCAAACACGAAAGUGGACGUAUACGGUGUGACGCCUGCCCGGUGCCGGAAGGUUAAUUGAUGGGGUCAGCGCAAGCGAAGCUCCUGAUCGAAGCCCCGGUAAACGGCGGCCGUAACUAUAACGGUCCUAAGGUAGCGAAAUUCCUUGUCGGGUAAGUUCCGACCUGCACGAAUGGCGUAAUGAUGGCCAGGCUGUCUCCACCCGAGACUCAGUGAAAUUGAACUCGCUGUGAAGAUGCAGUGUACCCGCGGCAAGACGGAAAGACCCCGUGAACCUUUACUAUAGCUUGACACUGAACAUUGAGCCUUGAUGUGUAGGAUAGGUGGGAGGCUUUGAAGUGUGGACGCCAGUCUGCAUGGAGCCGGCCUUGAAAUACCACCCUUUAAUGUUUGAUGUUCUAACGUGGACCCGUGAUCCGGGUUGCGGACAGUGUCUGGUGGGUAGUUUGACUGGGGCGGUCUCCUCCUAAAGAGUAACGGAGGAGCACGAAGGUUGGCUAAUCCUGGUCGGACAUCAGGAGGUUAGUGCAAUGGCAUAAGCCAGCUUGACUGCGAGCGUGACGGCGCGAGCAGGUGCGAAAGCAGGUCAUAGUGAUCCGGUGGUUCUGAAUGGAAGGGCCAUCGCUCAACGGAUAAAAGGUACUCCGGGGAUAACAGGCUGAUACCGCCCAAGAGUUCAUAUCGACGGCGGUGUUUGGCACCUCGAUGUCGGCUCAUCACAUCCUGGGGCUGAAGUAGGUCCCAAGGGUAUGGCUGUUCGCCAUUUAAAGUGGUACGCGAGCUGGGUUUAGAACGUCGUGAGACAGUUCGGUCCCUAUCUGCCGUGGGCGCUGGAGAACUGAGGGGGGCUGCUCCUAGUACGAGAGGACCGGAGUGGACGCAUCACUGGUGUUCGGGUUGUCAUGCCAAUGGCACUGCCCGGUAGCUAAAUGCGGAAGAGAUAAGUGCUGAAAGCAUCUAAGCACGAAACUUGCCCCGAGAUGAGUUCUCCCUGAGACUUAGAGUCUCCUGAAGGAACGUUGAAGACGACGACGUUGAUAGGCCGGGUGUGUAAGCGCAGCGAUGCGUUGAGCUAACCGGUACUAAUGAACCGUGAGGCUUAACCUU
rnacentral:rRNA from 1 species